UACGAAGGGGGCUAGCGUUGCUCGGAAUGACUGGGCGUAAAGGCGCGUAGGCGGAUGGCACAGUCAGAUGUGAAAUUCCCGGGCUUAACCUGGGGGCUGCAUUUGAUACGUGUUGUCUAGAGUGAGGAAGAGGGUUGUGGAAUUCCCAGUGUAGAGGUGAAAUUCGUAGAUAUUGGGAAGAACACCGGUGGCGAAGGCGGCAACCUGGUCCUUGACUGACGCUGAGGCGCGAAAGCGUGGGGAGCAAACAGGA
rnacentral:rRNA from 1 species